rnacentral:tRNA from 1 species
CGGGAUGUAGCUCAGUUUGGUUUAGAGUGCUUGCCUUGGAAGCAAGAGGUCGCAGGUUCGAGUCCUGUCAUUCCGACCA